AGUGCUGGGAUUACAGGCGUGAGCCACUGCACCCGGCCCUGAACUUAGGUUUUGAUGUCCCAGGGAUGUCCUGGUUGCUGGUCUUUCCCCACACCGGGUGGGGUUACGGUGGGUGGUGACUAGGAGUCAAUGUCAAAACCCUUUUAGCCACAGUUGAGCAAUAGGGGAGGUUUGGAGGGUGUGGUGCCUGGGCUGAGGCCCCCUGGGGCCCGUUACUGAGUUCAGUUUUGUCUGCUUUGGAGUCUCUUGCUGUCAUCUCGACGCGCUGGGCCAGCAUGAUCCUGCGAGGAGUUGUACUUCAAAAUUUAACAAGGAACAAACGCAAAGCUUCAAAAGGGGAAAUACAAGCUUUCCCAGAGGAGUUUCUCCAGGUGCAGCGUGUGGUGGCAGCAACAGCACAGGCAUUUCCUUACUUAACCAGAAGAGACUAAGGGAUCUCCUGGGUCAGGUUCUGUGGAGUUCCAGCAGAAGCCGCGGAUCGUGGAAGUUCAGCGACACCACCGUCCUGCCCCGUGGGAGAGGUGGGCAUUGAGAUGGGUUUGACAAACGCUCUUUCGAAUCCAGAAAAGUCAAGUAGAGAAGGAAAGUAAGGGGCCACUUACUGUGCCUCGAAUCACAAGACCGCG
rnacentral:lncRNA from 1 species